rnacentral:rRNA from 1 species
GAGUUUGAUCCUGGCUCAGAUUGAACGCUGGCGGCAGGCCUAACACAUGCAAGUCGAGCGGAUGACGGGAGCUUGCUCCUUGAUUCAGCGGCGGACGGGUGAGUAAUGCCCUAGGGAAUCUGCCUGGUAGUGGGGGGACAACGUUUCGAAAGGAACGCUAAUACCGCAUACGUCCUACGGGAGAAAGCAGGGGACCUUCGGGCCUUGCGCUAUCAGAUGAGCCUAGGUCGGAUUAGCUAGUUGGUGGGGUAAUGGCUCACCAAGGCGACGAUCCGUAACUGGUCUGAGAGGAUGAGUCAGUCACACUGGAACUGAGACACGGUCCAGACUCCUACGGGAGGCCAGCAGUGGGGAAUAUUGGACAAU